CUGGCGCCCCGUUCACACAGCAAGCCUUUGAGUGCGACCCCCCUUAUCAAUUAAAAAGGGGGGGGCGUAAUUUAACAGCGCUCAGGCUCUCAGCCCCUCACAGGGCCGACAGCUCCACACCCACCCAGUAACCUUGUGAUCCCCUGAGGGGUCGUGACACCCAGUUUGAGAACCGCUGAUUUCGUGUCUGUCAUCCACCCUGCAUCCCAAAUGAGCAACUUCAAUUUCCACUGGCUUCCCUGGGGGGCACAGGUGCCCAGCAGAGCGCUGCAUCUACCCCCGAAAGUGUAAACAACAGCGGAGGGCGAGCAUUGCAGCAGGGUGGCUUGGUACCAGAUCUGGCCGUUUCUGGGAUCAUCCUGAUUUUGGAGUGGUCCAUAUGUCUCAGGCCUGGCUCAUGGGAUCUUAAAAUAACUGGGAGCCCAGGUUACAUUGUCCUCUUUAGUCAGUGUUGGGAUGCAUGUGUUUGCCCCACCAGACAAGCUCACAUUUGUGGGAACCUAAGGCAAGGGCCAGGAGAGAGGUUUUCACCUGAGAUUUGAAAUGAGAUGGAGCAGCAAUGAGGGGGUGAGCUAGAGAGAAGUCACUCCACGUGACAGAAGCCGUACAGGGGGAACCAGCAGCUGCUGCACUCAUGGAUGGGUGCAGCUAACAGAGUCUUCCAAGACAUGCAUUCUGCAUAACACGAGUGAGGAUCUCGCUUAAACUUACAACUGGUGAUUAGUACACAGGGCUGAGGGAUUCCUACCGGUGCUGUAGGCUGGAGACAGUGGGCUCUCGGAGAUGGGAGACAUUGGGGAAUGGAGAUCUUGGAUUUGGUCCACGCUGACUGCGCAGUUCCGGAUGACGUCUCGGUGAUGUGAUCCUCAGCAGUUGUGUCUGAAAAUGCAAAUCAGUUGCAGGAGUAAUGCAUGUUUCCAUCAAACCCCGCAGAACUUCUUUUAGCCUCUCCAUCCAGGGAGCGUAUCUUUGAUACGAUCCAUCACCUGCUACAGAUGUGGGGCCGGAGGACGCGAUCCAUGGUGGAAUGGCUAAGAAGCCCAAGGACCAGGAAAAGCAAGAGACCAAUACUUGGGACAUACAGGGGGACAUGAGAAGGGUCUUGGAGUGAAUGAUGGAAGGAGGUAAAAAUGACACCCGCUUUAAGAGACUGGACAGGUUCAGGCAGAAGUGGAAUGAGAGGGGAAGGAGACCUGAAACCAGGCAAUUCUAAUGAGAGCUUUUCAAGGACUUGGGCAUCACAUUGAACCUAAUAACUGGGCCCUGCACCUGCCAGAUACAGGUUAAUAGUACUCUUUGGAGCACCUCCUACUCUCCAGCUCCUUCAUAGCCCUUACUCCAGGUAUUGCACCCCUCUGCCACAGUCACCUAAGAGGACUAGAAUCCCCAGUUAGAUGGGCAAGAUGCACCUGUAAAAUAUUGUUACCAUUGUUUGUGUAACUAUGUUACUCUUGUUUGCCAUUGAAGCUGGCCUGAAUUUUUGUUUGUGUAUAAUAAAGUAGAAUCUGGGGGAAAGCCUGUGUAAUGAGCACAAUCAAUCAUACUGGCUUUUAAUACCAAAACCAACAACAGUUCACUCCUCCAUUCCAUCUAGGAAUGAAGCCACACAUCCCGAAAGAGCGCCCACUGGUACAGAACGCACCAGCCUGUCCGUUUAGCAACACAGGUCACUGAACACAUCACUCAGGUACACCACUCCCUGCACUGGCUCCCCAUGGAGGUCAGAUUCCAGUUCAAGGUCUCUGUCCUGAUGUUCAAAGCCCUCUUUUCGAAUUGCUUAUGGCUACAUGACCUCUCAUGGCAGCUGUGUUCCACUGGAACAAUGAAACAUGAGUGUUGGAUGGGGGCAGGCUCUGAAAUGUUAGGGGGCUGUACUAUGGAAUAGCAGUUAGUGCAACUGCAUAGUCAUGUGGAUGUGGGGCAAAGCUGAAGCCAAGUCAGCGUGGCUAUGGUGGACAUGUUGCAGUGCUGGUACUUAGAUGGACACUAUGCUACUGGUUCAGUCUCUAGUGUAGACACAGCCAGGGCGUGCGUAUGCACGUCCAUCUAUCUAGAUAUUAGUUAUUCUCACUCCAAGGCUGCAGCUGCAUCCCUUUGCUGAGCUGCCAUUGGUCAGAAAUGAUGUCAUUGCCUCCAGUGCUGGGUGGCGGUGCAUUGCUAUUGGUGGAGGGGCAGAGAUGCUGUUGUCAGCUGGAAAGGCUCCAGUCAUUCAUGUGAAGUUCAGUGCGUAUUCACUGUGUGGGCUUGGACGCAUAGAUGGAGAUAAAGAUCUGGCAGAGCCAGGUGCGCACUUGGGGCUCACUUUUAACCCUGCAUUGCUGGGACAUAAUGCUACAUCAUCUGCAGUGUCCCAGCAAGAGAGACUGUAGCUGGAUUAACUCUUGCAGUGCUGGGUCAGAGUGCCUAAA